CAACGACUCUCGACAACGGAUAUCUCGGCUCUCGCAUCGAUGAAGAACGUAGCGAAAUGCGAUACUUGGUGUGAAUUGCAGAAUCCCGUGAACCAUCGAGUCUUUGAACGCAAGUUGCGCCCGAAGCCAUUAGGCUGAGGGCACGUCUGCCUGGGUGUCACGC
rnacentral:rRNA from 1 species